rnacentral:rRNA from 1 species
GAUGAACGCUGGCGGCGUGCCUAAUACAUGCAAGUCGAGCGAACAGACGAGGAGCUUGCUCCUCUGACGUUAGCGGCGGACGGGUGAGUAACACGUGGAUAACCUACCUAUAAGACUGGGAUAACUUCGGGAAACCGGAGCUAAUACCGGAUAAUAUAUUGAACCGCAUGGUUCAAUAGUGAAAGACGGUUUUGCUGUCACUUAUAGAUGGAUCCGCGCCGCAUUAGCUAGUUGGUAAGGUAACGGCUUACCAAGGCAACGAUGCGUAGCCGACCUGAGAGGUUGAUCGGCCACACUGGAACUGAGACACGGUCCAGACUCCUACGGGAGGCAGCAGUAGGGAAUCGUCCGCAAUGGGCGAAAGCUUGACGGAGCAACGCCGCGUGAGUGAUGAAGGUCUUCGGAUCGUAAAACUCUGUUAUUAGGGAAGAACAAAUGUGUAAGUAACUAUGCACGUCUUGACGGUACCUAAUCAGAAAGCCACGGCUAACUACGUG